rnacentral:rRNA from 1 species
GUGAUAGCAAUAUCAUAGUGGCGCACGGGUGCGUAACACGUAUGCAACCUACCUUAUACUGAGGGAUAGCCUUUCGAAAGGGAGAUUAAUACCUCAUAACACAUUGAACUGGCAUCAGUUUGUUGUUAAAGAUUUAUUGGUAUAAGAUGGGCAUGCGUCCAAUUAGUUAGUUGGCGAGGUAACGGCUCACCAAGACGAUGAUUGGUAGGGGAACUGAGAGGUUAAUCCCCCACUCUGGCACUGAGAUACGGGCCAGACUCCUACGGGAGGCAGCAGUAGGGAAUAUUGGGCAAUGGAGGCAACUCUGACCCAGCCAUGCCGCGUGCAGGAAGAAGGCGUUAUGCGUUGUAAACUGCUUUUAUAUAGGAAGAAAUAGACCUUGCGAGGUAAGUUGACGGUACUAUAUGAAUAAGCACCGGCUAACUCCGUGCCAGCAGCCGCGGUAAUACGGAGGGUGCAAGCGUUGUCCGGAUUUAUUGGGUUUAAAGGGUGCGUAGGCGGUUUAUUAAGUCAGUGGUGAAAGACGGUCGCUCAACGAUUGCAGUGCCAUUGAUACUGGUAGACUUGAGUGGGAUUGAGGUAGCUGGAAUGGAUAGUGUAGCGGUGAAAUGCAUAGAUAUUAUCCAGAACACCAAUUGCGUAGGCAAGUUACUAAGUCUCAACUGACGCUGAGGCACGAAAGUGUGGGUAUCAAACAGGAU